rnacentral:rRNA from 1 species
AUUGAACGCUGGCGGCGGGCUUAACACAUGCAAGUCGAACGAGUGGCGGACGGGUGAGUAAUGCAUGGGAAACUGCCGGAUGGAGGGGGAUAACUACCGGAAACGGCAGCUAAUACCGCAUACCAUCGGAGGUGCCCAGAUGGGAUUAGCUAGUAGGUGGGGUAACGGCGCACCGAGGCGACGAUCACUAGCUGGUCUGAGAGGAUGACCAGCCACACUGGAACUGAGACACGGUCCAGACUCCUACGGGAGGCAGCAGUGGGGAAUAUUGCACAAUGGGCGCAAGCCUGAUCCAGCCAUGCCGCGUGUAUGAAGAAGGCCUUCGGGUUGUAAAGUACUUUCAGCGAGGAGGCGUUACUCGCAGAAGAAGCACCGGCUAACUCCGUGCCAGCAGCCGCGGUAAUUC